AGUGGGACCUUGAAGGUUUGUAGAUGAUAAUCUCACCACAGCAAGGUUCUGCCCAACUCAAACCUUUAAACUUGCAUAUACUGUAUUUAAAGUUUUGAGUCCCACAGCUGCAAAAUUGCAUUUGGGCUGAUGUUUCAUGGUACCGGUCAUAUCCAAAAACUUAUAGCGCUGAAGCUGGAGCCACAGCUGAAAUAUAUUGUGGCUCUGGAGCUGGUGCUGGAGCCUAACCUAUUUCAAGCCAGCUCCCCAGCCCUUAUGAUUGGCAUUGUUCUUGCCUUCUUUUCCCAUAAUCUUUUUCACUUCUAUUUCAAGUUCUCUGUAUUUCAUUGUCUUUUCAAGUUCUUUAUCAUUUAUUCUUGCAUCAUCAGG
rnacentral:lncRNA from 1 species